GAGAGCUGCGAGGUACUGGCCUGGAUGUGGUGGAGCUGGGCUGGGACCUCCGGGCUGCUGGUCUGUGAGCCUGGCUUUGAAAAUUGGUUACUGGGUCUCCUCUCAAGAAAUCUCAAGAUAUUAAAGUUACUGCUGUUAAAAAGGUGAGGAAUACUGUAUCUAUCAUUCAACAAGUUUCAGCUUUCUGGCUAAAUGACUUUUGUGCCAGUGAUACCAGAGUCCUACAGCCAUGUUCUUGCAGAGUUUGAAUCUCUGGAUCCAUUACUCUCAGCCCUGCGGCUGGACUCCAGUCGUCUAAAGUCUUGCUCUGUUGCCCAGGAUGGAGUACAGUGGCACCAUCUCAGCUCUCUGCAAACUCUGCCUCCCGGGUUCAAGUGAUUCUCAUGCCUCAGCCACCAGAGAGGCUAGGAUUACAGUGCACGAGCAUAGCUGUGUCUCGGAAAUGGUUGGCUUUGGGCAGUUCAGGAGGAGGACUGCAUCUCAUU
rnacentral:sRNA from 1 species